GAAUGCUGACAUAAGUAACGAUAAAGCGGGUGAAAAGCCCGCUCGCCGGAAGACCAAGGGUUCCUGUCCAACGUUAAUCGGGGCAGGGUGAGUCGACCCCUAAGGCGAGGCCGAAAGGCGUAGUCGAUGGGAAACGGGUUAAUAUUCCCGUACUUGGUGUUACUGCGAAGGGGGGACGGAGAAGGCUAUGUUGGCCGGGCGACGGUUGUCCCGGUUUAAGCGUGUAGGUGUGUGUUCCAGGUAAAUCCGGUUCACUUUAACACUGAGGCGUGAUGACGAGGCACUACGGUGCUGAAGCAACAAAUGCCCUGCUUCCAGGAAAAGCCUCUAAGCAUCAGGUAACAUCAAAUCGUACCCCAAACCGACACAGGUGGUCAGGUAGAGAAUACCAAGGCGCUUGAGAGAACUCGGGUGAAGGAACUAGGCAAAAUGGUGCCGUAA
rnacentral:rRNA from 2 species